UUACAAUAAAGCAUUGGAAAUGAUUACUCAGGGACCAAACAACUGAGCAGAAAGAAGAACCGUAUGACCUUGAAGAGUAAGCAAUGUAUUAAGUAUAUUUGGGGUUACCAAAGAGUAUGGUAAGAACCUCAUCUUAAAUUAUACUUGAUUGCAGCAGUGGGAUGUUACAGUCAUAGACGUUGGAUAGACUCCGUUGUACUAGGCCAGGGAGGGUAGCGCAGAGUUUCCGCAGCACUAUACAAUAGUAGCAAGAUCACUCUACCAUGAGCUUGUUAAAGGGCCCAUUUGAUGAAAGUGACACCAACGUUCUCCACAACACUACAGAUUUGUUUUUGCAGAUGCAGCCGAGAGGAUGUUUCAGUCAUGGACUCAUUUGAUGGAAGUGGCACCAACAUUCUCAAACACUAAUAAUUUACAAAUUUGUUUUUGUUGUAGAUGCAACCUCAGUCAUACACCCUAGAGUUUGGCUAUGUUGUGACAGAAGAAGAGUGGCAUAUAGACUUCUGUAUGUCCAUUUUUAUGGAAGUGACAAAUUACUAAUCUUUCUUCUUAUAUCCAUUUCAGAGUUCUUACAAAGAUGCAUAGGUAUAAAAUAUUUAUUAUUUUUUGUCUUUUGGUGUAUUUUUGUCAAUGAGUUAAAACCCAAAGAACAGUACAUCGAUCAGAAGUAAUAAGUUUGACUAGUGUAAUUUGAGAGAGAACACUCUGGAACACAAAAAAUAUCCUACCUCAUAAAAAAUUAACACGACAUCUUAUUUUCACCUUUUUUCAUUGAAGCAGCACACAGUGCAGUCAAGAAUGUAUGCAUGUCCUUGAACUUCUAGAAAUACAAUACCUCUAAUAGUUAAAACAGUCUGGUAUAAUGGUCAACAAGAGCUACAUAAAAAAAAGGAAGAUACCAAAGUUAAAUUAAAAAAAUAUGUAUUUAAUUUUUGAAAU